AGAAUUUAAUGGGGGAUCAAAUCAAGUCUGGAAGUGUUACAGGAUGGAAGAGUCAGCCUACAGAUGAAAAAACACUGAGAGUGCAUUACCAUUAAGUACAACAGCAAUCCUUUAUAGUUCUGUCACAGCUAGAAACCUCAAAUAAUUCUGCUUCUCUGUCUAAAGAACAACUUGUCCUUUACGUUCAGAGUGUUGGGGAAACUGGGUACUUAAAUGGCCCUAAAGAUGUUUUAAUUUUGCUGCCAUUGCAGAGAUGAACAUCAUACAUGGACUCUUUAGGUCUAAUCUACCAAAAAAAAUUUUAUCCAAUAGGAAAGGAUUUUCAUGUACUGGGAACACAACUAUCAACAAUGCAACAUUGUACAGGUGCUAGUUUAUCAUUCAAGAGCCUUAUACAAUGAUGUUAAUCUGCAAUUUGUAUGUCCUUCCCCAAGCUUCCACCAGAAGUUGAAUCUAUGAGUCUUGUAAGUUACAUGAUCAACAGUUGAUAUGUUUAACAGUGUUGUUUUUCUUUUCUCAAUAUAGGUUAAUAGUAACAUUGGAUCUGAAAAAAUUCUUGGUUGGGGCAAGACACUGAAUAAAUUGUAUUGAUUGGAUGGAUGACAUGACAUUUCUAUACUUAAUUCGGAUUCCCCAGACGGUAUUUGAUAUUAAAAAAAUUGAAGUGCAUAUCUGGGCUCCCUUCUUUUCUGAAGCCCCGUUUCCCCUUGACUCGUAAUA